rnacentral:tRNA from 1 species
GGGGGUGUAGCUCAGUUGGUAGAGCAUGUGCUUAGCAUGCACGAGGUCCUGGGUUCAAUCCCCAGUAUCUCUA